CCGAGUUUACAACUCCCAAACCCCUGUGAACAUACCACUUGUUGCCUCGGCGGAUCAGCCCGCUCCCGGUAAAACGGGACGACCCGCCAGAGGGACCCCUAAACUCUGUUUCUAUAUGUAACUUCUGAGUAAAACCAUAAAUAAAGUCAA
rnacentral:misc_RNA from 1 species